CAUUAUCAUUUGUAAUAUCCAUAUUAUCUGAUUUUGACGGGUCAUGUCAGAUCAUGUUAGGUAUUUCAUAUGAUUUUG
rnacentral:pre_miRNA from 1 species